AACUACCAAUCCCGGCUUGCCCCGGUCGGCGCGGGCGUAGGGGCCCGUGCGCUAGCCGUUGGCUGGACCAGGGGUUGCCUGGGUUGCGGAGAUGGGCUCUGCAGGCGCUGGCAAAUCCGGCCUAGUAUGUGAAGUUGGCGGUGCCUGAUGGCGCCUCUGACACGAAGCUGGGUGGGGUAGAGAGUAGAGGGCGGUAGUUGCGGCAGGUGGGAGGAGGGAGGCGGCGGUGAAUCACUUAUAAAUGACUCCGAAGCAGGACCUGGAGACUAAAUUCCAGGAGGAUAAUGGUUAUCCAUGACCAAGAAGGAAAGACCAGAGACAUGGAAUGAGCGAUUGCAGCCCUUCAGUAUGACACAGAUUCACAUCAAGAUAAAGAUGAUGUACAAAGAAAACCCAUGCCCCCAAAGAGAUUACAGCCACUCCUCCAGACAGAUCCAGCAGGAAUAACCACAAAAGUCACCUUGGGGCCACUUAAUAGAACAGGGUGAGAGCUCCAUGACCCCAACUAGGUAGGGUCUAUGAGUCCCAUGUCAGCAUUAAAGAAAUUACAGAAGACUGACCAUCUGUCCCUCAUCACCCCAAUAAAGGUUUCUUGGGGUUCACGUCUCAAGGAAAAUUUGAAGUAGGAGAUAGAUGGUUCCUGGGCUGAAUAGCUGGUGAUUUUCAAACGGAGCAAAACUGAAGUUUGUCCUCAGCCAGACAAGAAUGACGUAUUUCCCUUCCUCCAUUGUUAGGAGGGAAUAAACUGAUGGGGGAGUUGUUGCAGUGAAAAGGAAAAAAGAGGAAUGAGUUUUUCUUUUUCACUGCUCUGAGAGCAAAGAAGAUAAAGAAGAACAGUGAGCAGGCCUGAACAUUCCUAGUUUAUUUUACUUUAACUGCUCCUAGUUCCGAAUGUUUGUAACUACGUUUGUUUUUCUGCACCCUAACUCUGCAGGAGCCACACUUCACUUGACUCUGUGCUAAAUACAUCCUCUAUCUGAUGUUUACCUUUACAACAGCCUUCCCCUUGUAGUUACAUGUCAGAAAGAAGGCCUCAGAGCCACCAGACUGCCCAAUGCAGUUACGGGUUACUGAUGCCAGUUUAUGACUGCCUUUGAAAUGAUGCAAGAGGAAGAAAUCACGGUCCUGUCACCUUUGUUUCCUCAUCACCGGCUCCUGACUGCUCCUGACUGUGAGCACCUGCCUUAGGGACACAGUUCUUGAGGCAGGAGCAUGCUGUGUUCCCCUCUCCACUACCUGAGAAUAAAAGCCACCAUUCUGUUUCUUCCAAA